CUAACCGACCGCACAUAAAGUGCGAGGCAUUCUUAUACCUGCGUCAGGUGCCGAACGUUGUGACGUUACGUCAGUGCCAAGUAAAUAAUUAACUUUCGUUGGUGUUGGCCUCCUGAGCUCGAAACCUAGGGAAACCCGCUGGGUGCCGUCCAAAUGGCCAGCGACCGAACUCGAUGGAGGAGCAUUGUAAACCAAACGAUGACUCGCCAAGGUGGUCACGAUCCUUAGUCUUGAAGGACCGACUAGAGAGAGAGAGAGAUUAUUUUUGAGUUAGUCAAUAAACAAACUUUGUAAUAAUUUAAAUGAUUUCAUUGGUUAAUUAAGUUCAGUAAUUCUGUAAUAAGAUAACCAGCGCAUUCAAAACGCAAUCGUUAUUAAAGAUGUUGCAUAAAAUAGGUAGCUACAAGGUCACGAAAUCAAACAAUAACUACUUUUAAUUGAACUAUAAGCUUGAACGGUCCAAAAGUUCGCUUCAGAACAAAAUCAAUUUAAACCGGUCGAGGCAGCGAGUAUUUCGUUGCUGAAAGUAUGUUGCAAUAGCAAUAAUGGUUUUAAAUGAAACUUGAAAUCCAAUUUCGUUUUCAUAUUACAUAAUAAAUGCAAUUAACGGUU